rnacentral:rRNA from 1 species
AUCUGAACUUAGACGGGACUACCC